CGAAAGGUUCUGUCUUAGAAUUAUAUUUAAGAAUAUUCGUUUUGUGUUUUUUCAAAGUUUUCAACCUAAUAACAAUGUUGUGAGUUCUGAAAUUUUAAAAUGUAUUAUAAAUAUAAAUAAAACUGGGAAAAGGAUACUUUCGGCUACACAAAUAAACAGAUAUCAGCAGAAAAUAGCAUCUGGCCUUUCAGCAGGAUUUCAAUAGUUCCAUCGUUUAAUCGAUAAAUAUCGAUUCCAGUCGAAGUUUUAAAUUAUGUAAUUCUCAAAAGGUUCAAGCUGCAAUACGGAGAUCAGUGCUAGAGUCUCGGUGCCUGGAGAUGCGAUAUCCAGAUCUAAGGAAUGGCUGCUAGGUCAAACCGGGAGCGGGUCCAGACGGUUUAGAAUAAAGCCGUACGGAUAACGAUUUUGAUUAGUACGUGCGCGGUUCAAAGCUUCACCGUAACCGAAUCUGGAAACUGUAGAGCUCCAAAUGAACCGCCACACAUGCCGAUGCCUAUCUGCAGCUCGUCUCAUCACCCGGCUGAGAAUUAAGAACUAGAUCAAUCCCUUAUACUAUUACUACAACUAUGUCCAAUUCAUUAAGCAUGGUCUCUGUAUUCACACUGCCUUUCAUGUUAUAGCCAAGAUAGCUGACCAAUUCUUGGCAAAAAUAUAACUAGAUAAGAUAGCCAAA